AGCGUACACGGUGGAUGCCCUGGCAGUCAGAGGCGAUGAAGGACGUGCUAAUCUGCGAUAAGCGUCGGUAAGGUGAUAUGAACCGUUAUAACCGGCGAUUUCCGAAUGGGGAAACCCAGUGUGUUUCGACACACUAUCAUUAACUGAAUCCAUAGGUUAAUGAGGCGAACCGGGGGAACUGAAACAUCUAAGUACCCCGAGGAAAAGAAAUCAACCGAGAUUCCCCCAGUAGCGGCGAGCGAACGGGGAGCAGCCCAGAGCCUGAAUCAGUGUGUGUGUUAGUGGAAGCGUCUGGAAAGGCGCGCGAUACAGGGUGACAGCCCCGUACACAAAAAUGCACAUACUGUGAGCUCGAUGAGUAGGGCGGGACACGUGGUAUCCUGUCUGAAUAUGGGGGGACCAUCCUCCAAGGCUAAAUACUCCUGACUGACCGAUAGUGAACCAGUACCGUGAGGGAAAGGCGAAAAGAACCCCGGCGAGGGGAGUGAAAAAGAACCUGAAACCGUGUACGUACAAGCAGUGGGAGCACGCUUAGGCGUGUGACUGCGUACCUUUUGUAUAAUGGGUCAGCGACUUAUAUUCUGUAGCAAGGUUAACCGAAUAGGGGAGCCGAAGGGAAACCGAGUCUUAACUGGGCGUUAAGUUGCAGGGUAUAGACCCGAAACCCGGUGAUCUAGCCAUGGGCAGGUUGAAGGUUGGGUAACACUAACUGGAGGACCGAACCGACUAAUGUUGAAAAAUUAGCGGAUGACUUGUGGCUGGGGGUGAAAGGCCAAUCAAACCGGGAGAUAGCUGGUUCUCCCCGAAAGCUAUUUAGGUAGCGCCUCGUGAAUUCAUCUCCGGGGGUAGAGCACUGUUUCGGCAAGGGGGUCAUCCCGACUUACCAACCCGAUGCAAACUGCGAAUACCGGAGAAUGUUAUCACGGGAGACACACGGCGGGUGCUAACGUCCGUCGUGAAGAGGGAAACAACCCAGACCGCCAGCUAAGGUCCCAAAGUCAUGGUUAAGUGGGAAACGAUGUGGGAAGGCCCAGACAGCCAGGAUGUUGGCUUAGAAGCAGCCAUCAUUUAAAGAAAGCGUAAUAGCUCACUGGUCGAGUCGGCCUGCGCGGAAGAUGUAACGGGGCUAAACCAUGCACCGAAGCUGCGGCAGCGACGCUUAUGCGUUGUUGGGUAGGGGAGCGUUCUGUAAGCCUGCGAAGGUGUGCUGUGAGGCAUGCUGGAGGUAUCAGAAGUGCGAAUGCUGACAUAAGUAACGAUAAAGCGGGUGAAAAGCCCGCUCGCCGGAAGACCAAGGGUUCCUGUCCAACGUUAAUCGGGGCAGGGUGAGUCGACCCCUAAGGCGAGGCCGAAAGGCGUAGUCGAUGGGAAACAGGUUAAUAUUCCUGUACUUGGUGUUACUGCGAAGGGGGGACGGAGAAGGCUAUGUUGGCCGGGCGACGGUUGUCCCGGUUUAAGCGUGUAGGCUGGUUUUCCAGGCAAAUCCGGAAAAUCAAGGCUGAGGCGUGAUGACGAGGCACUACGGUGCUGAAGCAACAAAUGCCCUGCUUCCAGGAAAAGCCUCUAAGCAUCAGGUAACAUCAAAUCGUACCCCAAACCGACACAGGUGGUCAGGUAGAGAAUACCAAGGCGCUUGAGAGAACUCGGGUGAAGGAACUAGGCAAAAUGGUGCCGUAACUUCGGGAGAAGGCACGCUGAUAUGUAGGUGAGGUCCCUCGCGGAUGGAGCUGAAAUCAGUCGAAGAUACCAGCUGGCUGCAACUGUUUAUUAAAAACACAGCACUGUGCAAACACGAAAGUGGACGUAUACGGUGUGACGCCUGCCCGGUGCCGGAAGGUUAAUUGAUGGGGUUAGCGCAAGCGAAGCUCUUGAUCGAAGCCCCGGUAAACGGCGGCCGUAACUAUAACGGUCCUAAGGUAGCGAAAUUCCUUGUCGGGUAAGUUCCGACCUGCACGAAUGGCGUAAUGAUGGCCAGGCUGUCUCCACCCGAGACUCAGUGAAAUUGAACUCGCUGUGAAGAUGCAGUGUACCCGCGGCAAGACGGAAAGACCCCGUGAACCUUUACUAUAGCUUGACACUGAACAUUGAGCCUUGAUGUGUAGGAUAGGUGGGAGGCUUAGAAGUGUGGACGCCAGUCUGCAUGGAGCCGACCUUGAAAUACCACCCUUUAAUGUUUGAUGUUCUAACGUUGACCCGUAAUCCGGGUUGCGGACAGUGUCUGGUGGGUAGUUUGACUGGGGCGGUCUCCUCCUAAAGAGUAACGGAGGAGCACGAAGGUUGGCUAAUCCUGGUCGGACAUCAGGAGGUUAGUGCAAUGGCAUAAGCCAGCUUGACUGCGAGCGUGACGGCGCGAGCAGGUGCGAAAGCAGGUCAUAGUGAUCCGGUGGUUCUGAAUGGAAGGGCCAUCGCUCAACGGAUAAAAGGUACUCCGGGGAUAACAGGCUGAUACCGCCCAAGAGUUCAUAUCGACGGCGGUGUUUGGCACCUCGAUGUCGGCUCAUCACAUCCUGGGGCUGAAGUAGGUCCCAAGGGUAUGGCUGUUCGCCAUUUAAAGUGGUACGCGAGCUGGGUUUAGAACGUCGUGAGACAGUUCGGUCCCUAUCUGCCGUGGGCGCUGGAGAACUGAGGGGGGCUGCUCCUAGUACGAGAGGACCGGAGUGGACGCAUCACUGGUGUUCGGGUUGUCAUGCCAAUGGCACUGCCCGGUAGCUAAAUGCGGAAGAGAUAAGUGCUGAAAGCAUCUAAGCACGAAACUUGCCCCGAGAUGAGUUCUCCCUGACUCCUUGA
rnacentral:rRNA from 1 species